GCGGCGGACGGGUGAGUAACGCGUAGGAAUCUGCCUGAUAGAGGGGGAUAGCCCGGGGAAACCCGGAUUAAUACCGCAUACGCCCUACGGGGGAAAGCAGGGGAUCUUCGGACCUUGCGCUAUCAGAUGAGCCUGCGUCGGAUUAGCUGGUUGGUAGGGUAAAGGCCUACCAAGGCGACGAUCCGUAACUGGUCUGAGAGGAUGAUCAGUCACACCGGAACUGAGACACGGUCCGGACUCCUACGGGAGGCAGCAGUGGGGAAUAUUGGACAAUGGGGGCAACCCUGAUCCAGCCAUGCCGCGUGUGUGAAGAAGGCCUUCGGGUUGUAAAGCACUUUAAGCAGGGAGGAAAGGGUGAAGGCUAAUAUCCUCCAUCAUUGACGUUACCUGCAGAAUAAGCACCGGCUAACUUCGUGCCAGCAGCCGCGGUAAUACGAAGGGUGCAAGCGUUAAUCGGAAUUACUGGGCGUAAAGCGCGCGUAGGCGGUCUGAUCAGUUGGAUGUGAAAGCCCAGGGCUCAACCUUGGGACUGCAUCCAAUACUGUCACGCUAGAGUACGGGAGAGGGGGGUAGAAUUCCACGUGUAGCGGUGAAAUGCGUAGAGAUGUGGAGGAAUACCGGUGGCGAAGGCGGCCCCCUGGAUCGAUACUGACGCUGAGUGCGAAAGCGUGGGGGAGCAAACAGGAUUAGAUACCCUGGUAGUCCACGCCGUAAACGAUGUCACUAGCGUUGGGAGCGUAUGCUCUGAGUGCGCAGCUAACGCACUAGUUGACCGCCUGGGG
rnacentral:rRNA from 1 species